ensembl:lncRNA
GCCUGCCGCCAUGCUUUGCCCGCCUCCAACCUCUGCACACGGUGGGUGUUGCUCCAGGACCGUUACUUCAGACAGGCCAUGCUGGGUCUUCGUUGCGGAGCGUGGGUCUCUCUCGUUGUGGUGAACAGCUCUGGAGCACCCAGGCUCAGGACUUGUGGUUGCUGAUGAGGAAACAGCCUGUCUGACCACAGAGCCGACAAAGGGGAGCAGGAUUUGAACCCAGAACCCCAUGAUGCCCAUCCUCCCUUCUCGUGGCCGUGAGCCUCCUGGGUGCUGGGCACUGGCCCUGGGACUCCCAUGGUCCUCCGUCCCUGGACCUCGGGCGCCCCUGGGCCGGAGGGUUCUAGAGUGUCUUCAGGACAUCGGAGCGGGGUUAAAGCAGGUUUCCUC